ACGGCGUAGAAAACUGCCCAGGUAGUGGGGGAUAGCCCAGAGAAAUUUGGAUUAAUACCGCAUACGCCCUACGGGGGUAAAGGGGGCGUUCGGCCUCUCGCUAUUGGAUGUGUCUCGACGGUGGGAUUAGCUAGUUGGUGAGGUAAGGGCUCACCAAGGCGACGAUCCCUAGCUGGUCUGAGGAGGAUGAUCCAGCCACGACUGGAACUGAGACACGGGUCCAGACUCCUACGGGAGGCAGCAGUGGGGAAUAUUGCACGAAUGGGCGAAAGCCUGAUGCAGCCAUGCCGCGUGUGUGAA
rnacentral:rRNA from 1 species